rnacentral:lncRNA from 1 species
AUUGGAAGAGCACCUCUUGAAAAGAAGAGUAUUUAUAGGAAAUUAUAAAAUCCUGAAUUCAGGGUUUUUUUUCCAAGUGAAAAGAAAACUAAACCAGAACUGUGUGAUUUUGUUGUUUUAUAAUUGGAAAGACUGAACUGUGGAUUUGGGAGACCACUGACUUAGGGAAGUUGACAUGGAAUAUAGAUAGUUGCUGGAAAGAAC